rnacentral:rRNA from 1 species
CCCUUAGAUGUUCUGGGCCGCACGCGCGCUACACUGACGGAUUCAACGAGCUUACAACCUUGGCCGAAAGGUCUGGGUAAUCUCCAAAAUCCGUCGUGAUGGGGAUAGAUUAUUGCAAUUAUUAAUCUUCAACGAGGAAUGCCUAGUAAGCGCAAGUCAUCAGCUUGCGUUGAUUACGUCCCUGCCCUUUGUACACACCACCCGUCGCUCCUACCGAUUGAAUGGUCCGGUGAAGCGUUUGGACUAUGGUUUUCUGAUGGUCCGCCGUUGGAUUACCGUGGGAAGUUCGUUAAACCUUAUCAUUUAGAGGAAGGAGAAGUCGUAACA